rnacentral:lncRNA from 1 species
AGCUUCGUGCACAUGUGUCAGGACCUUCGAGUGCUCAAUGCUAUUAGGGACUACCACAUUGGGAUCCCUCUGACCUAUACCCAGUAUCCCUAUGUAUGGCAUGAGGGUGUUUACAGCUGGGCAUGGCAGGGUAAAGGGCAGGAGAUGUGGUCUGCAGUUCCCUGGCAAAGAGGGCUUAUACCAACUGAUCCUUAACCAAGGAAAAUAAAGAUACAAGCAGCUUACCAUCCAGGUGCUGCUCGACAGGUACCGAAGCCCAGGUGGUGUGGGAGGACAGGGUGGGUGUAGCAUGUGGGGACUUGUGGGGACUGCUCCUCACUUACCUGUUAGGACUGGGAAGCCUAGCACAGGCUAGGGUCAUUCUGCCUGCUCGACCUCACUUUGCCUCACCGCUUUGUCCGUUACUCCUUUAC